ensembl:lncRNA LINC01727 long intergenic non-protein coding RNA 1727
AGGGCUGGUGCUCUCGUUCAGAUAGAUUUAGCUGGUGGUGCAGAGAUCCGUGAGCUUGCUUUUACAGGACUUUAAUGAUAUAUAAAAGCAGCACGAGGUGCUCCUGACUGUGGAUUAAUUUGGAGAUGACUUUCUCUGUUGAAGAGUAGCAAGACUCUCGCGAGUUCUUAAAAAUGCACUUGUUUGGUAUGAGAAUGAAAAGCAGUGGCUGAAGAACCAAUCUUCAAUGGGCAAGCCUUCUCUGUGUCUGUUCUAACACGUGCCAUUUGGGAUCCCUUGGAAUCUUCAUGUACAGAACUGGUUGCUGCCUCGUUGAGUCGGUGGGGACAGAAUAGCUCCUGGUUGACAGCAUGGGUUGUGCAGAAGGACGGAUCCUGCAGACAUCAAUAUCUGGCUUUGAGUGGCACAAAGAAAUAAAGGAAUGUGGAUUCAGACCUCACUGGGAUGCUUGGCAAUUCUAAUUCUACCCCAGACUGCAAAUGGACACACAACUGUUGUGACUUUUGUUGAAGAGGAGAAGGAUGGCACAGAAGCUGGAUUCAGAAGCACACAGGUCUGGGGAUGCAGGCUUCGGCCAGCCUGAUGCAAGGAAAGACUGCCAUCUCGUGGUCAGCUCAAUCCUGGCACCUUGGUGAGGGACCAGGCUGCAGAAAACCAGGCUUGGGGAGGAAACGGUGCUGCAAACUGGAUUUCUGCCGGACAGUGUGGAUGCCCUUAGAAAACACCCAGAAAAGAGCUGAGUGCCCCCCAAGACUUGCCCUGAAUUCUUUCAUGUGCAAUAUCCGAAAACCCUCUCUUGGGGCCUGGAUCAGGACCCCUUUCCUAUAACAUCUUUCUGGCGACAACAAAGGGACAAUGGUGUGGAAUCCCCCUUCCCAAAUGCUACUUUUAGGUAAGUAUUGGGGUCCUGUAACAUAUUUCUGGCAAACCAUGGAAUGGACAAUACUGAAGAAACUCGCCAACCCAAAGGAUAUAGACUGUAGCAAUGAUUGGACGACUCUGAGCAAGUGGUGGGGUACCUGGGUAAAGAAUCGGAUGGGAUUAGAGGCCCAACUGGGGGAGUUAGAGUCUCUCCCAAGCCAGAGUGGGUUAGAGGCCCCUCUUAGUGAAAGGCAAGGACGCUUGACCCACCUUGGGUUAUAGGCCCGCCUUAGGAGGGUUAAAGUCCCUUCCAAGAUUUAGGGGGCUGGAGGCCCCUCUCAGUAAAGUCCCUCUCAGCUAAGAAUGAGUUUGGCACUGCAGGCUAUGCUCUUU